UGCUCUUGUGCAACAUUUGCGUAGCAGAGUUGAGAGACCAAAAUCUGCUUGGAAUUCUCUGCUGCUCACACAGGAAUAACACACUCACCAUGGAGGUGCACAUGCAUUCUCUUCUCUUUCUGAUGCUGGGUGUGUGCUGUUCAGGGAGAGAACAGAAAGAGAAUUCUGAUGGGAACAAGCUCAAGAAAUCAACAUACAAAUUUUUAGGUGGCGCUAGGUCAAAGGACUACCUCAACCCUGAUAUUUCAAAACCUGGUGAAUGGAAGAUUACAGCACAUUACAAAGGUGACUAGAAAAAUGCUGCAGUGGUCCAGAAAUUCAAGGUCCAGAAAUUUGAUAUGGCACAUAUGGCAAGACCAUUGAUGGUGGUUUCCACUGACAGUUUGCAAGAGGGUCUGGCUGCAGACUUGCACUUGCACUCUCAGACUUGCACUCUCAGACACUUGCGCUUCCGCUAGUGACAUCACUUGCAGUCUUUAUUUUAUAUUUUGUUCUAUUUAAUUAUUAUUUUUUGUCUGAAUCUCUCA
ensembl:lncRNA